rnacentral:tRNA from 1 species
ACUAUAAUAGUUUAAUUAAAACAAAGGUUUUGUAAACCUAAAUUGAUUUUUCUUAUAGUU